rnacentral:rRNA from 1 species
AUUGAACGCUGGCGGCAGGCCUAACACAUGCAAGUCGAACGAGUGGCGGACGGGUGAGUAAUGUCUGGGAAACUGCCCGAUGGCGGGGGAUAACUACUGGAAACGGUAGCUAAUACCGCAUACCAUCGGAUGUGCCCCGAUGGGAUCAGCUGGUAGGUGGGGUAACGGCUCACCUAGGCGACGAUCCCUAGCUGGGCUGAGAGGAUGACCAGCAACACUGGAACUGAGACACGGUCCAGACUCCUACGGGAGGCCGCAGUGGGGAAUAUUGCGCAAUGGGCGAAAGCCUGAUGCAGCCAUGCCGAUUGUAUGAGGAGGGCCUUCGGGUUGUAAAGUACUUUCAGCGAGGAGGCGUUACUCGCAGAGGAAGCAUAGGCUAACUCCGUGCCAGCCGCCGCGGUAAUUC